UCUCAAGCUGUGAGUCUACAAAGGAAAGCGCUUUCUGUUGUCUGAAAGAAAAGAAAUCGCUUCCCUUUGGAGUGUUACGGUUUGAGA
rnacentral:pre_miRNA from 10 species